CGUCCCCGGGCCUCCAGGGCCCCGGCCGCCCGACUGGGACGCGAGCCUGGGACCCCGCUGACUGAGAGUGCCCCGGCCGAGGAGCGCGCUGCCGCGGCGGUCAGGAGACCAGCCGGGCCUGGGAGAGACAGGCGGGGUCAUCUUCGGGUGGAAGGGGAAAGCCCGUUAUCUUGGGCCCCCAGGCGUGCACAUUCUCUUUGAGGAUAUUCUAGCCCGCAAGGAGCAUGUGUUUCUGGUCUGCUCUCAGUAAGGCAUAGCAGAGCAGUAAAGGCCCUGGCUCAGCAUGGCUGGGAAAAAACAAGGACAAGUCAAGCCCAGACCUGAGUUGGAUGUUGACUCACUAUGUGACUGUCUCCUAGGAAUAUUAUGCAACUCAGAAAGGAUCAAGUCCAUGCCCAGUAACUGGCAAGGAUUUUAAGGUUUCCCUCUACAUCUCCCUCCACAUAUUCCUGUUAGAGGCACUGAAUCGCACUUCGAAUAAAUCCUGAGGUACCAAGUCCAGAGCUGCUCCACCACAUAUUCAGUGACACAGGCUCGCCUCACUGUUGUCCAUUCCUUGGGUGUGGCCCUGACCCUCAUGGUCCAAGACAGUGACGAGGGCCGCAGCUAUCAUAUUGGUAUUCCAGGAAGAGGAUAGAGGAAGAGAUGAAGAAGACACAAAGGGCAUGUACCAUCUGUCUUUAGAGGAAAGUUGCCAGAAGCUUCCAUACAACACUUCUGCUUCUAUUUCAUUGGGGUUCCUAAGGAGCAACUUGAGGAAGCAGAGAUAAGAGUGGCCCCCCAAGUGAAGAGAAGAUGCGGCUUUCAUUUUACUCUUCGUCAAGAUGGUGACGUACCCAGACAUUGUAGCCUACGUGGUGUUGACUAAAAAUUUUCAAAGUUGUUACCUCUUUACAGAUUAAAAUAAAUAGAACCCUA